rnacentral:rRNA from 1 species
AUUAGUUUUUUAAUUGAAGGCUAGAAUGAAUGGUUGGACAAGAAAUAAUCUGUCUCUGGUUAAUAUAUUGAAUUUAACUUUUAAGUGAAAAGGCUUAAAUAAUUUGAAGGGACGAUAAGACCCUAUAAAACUUUAUAUUUGGAAGUGAUGGUAGAUUUUGUUUGUUAGUUAUUAUUUUAAAGUAUUUGGUUGGGGCGACAAGGAUAAAAAGAAAGUAACUGUUCUUUGUUUUUACAAUAAUGUUUGGUUUAGUGAUCCUAAUAUGGAUUAAAAGAUUAAGUUACUUUAGGGAUAACAGCGUAAUUUUCUUUGAGAGUUCUUAUCGAUAAGAGAGUUUGCGACCUCGAUGUUGAAUUAAAGGUUCUUUAUGGAGUAGA